CAGGUUCUAAUAGCCAAAGAAUACAACUUUUCUCUUUGUUAAUUGAAUCAAAUUCAGCAUUCUAAGCCAUAUGGUUUCAGAAGGUGUGUGUUGGAUUCAAGGCAACUGGUAUAGGAUGUGUGGCUGCCUACUGUAAGAAUUCGAAUGAUUCCAUAGGCAAAGGUGAGUCUAAAUUAUACUACGCAGACACUUAUCAUCGACGUCAAUGUUAUUGCCUAGAUCUGGCAGUUUCCAAGCCGUCAGAAGCGUUAUUUUUUGGACCGGCGUUGGAGGGAUUGGAGUUUCAAUAACUACCAUCUUCUUGAAGAUUGAUAUGAUGUUGGGAUUGUUUGAUCAGGACUUGCAUGGACAUGUGGAAAAGUGUUUUGUUACUUAGUGUGAUACAUUUUUUAUAGUCUUUUUAAUUUUUUAUUACAUGAAAGAUUGAGAAAAUGCAGGUGCUCAAAUUUUCAAUUGAAUUUGGUCUUAUAUCUCAGUUGAUGAAUCAUUAUAUAACAUAGAGCAAAAGAACCUUUUAUUUGGUCGAGCUACCAACAUGGUGCAUCCAGCCACAGGCAUGCCAUUUUUGUAAUAUGCAUAUGCUUAAUUUAGCUUUCAGUGCUUUUAAUAUUGGACUUUAUUCAUUCAAUAGGAUACUCUAUUGUUAGAUCAUUGUUGGAAGCUCCAGAAUAUGCUUUAGUAAUUACUACUAUUUUGAAUGAGGAUAAUGCAAUGGCAUUGCUACCUUUGAAAGGAGUAAGGAAAAUCCAUAUAUGCGAGGUAAUCAAG